rnacentral:rRNA from 1 species
GGGAACGUACCCCUCGGUUCGGAAUAACUCAGGGAAACUUGAGCUAAUACCGGAUACGCCCUUUUGGGGAAAGGUUUACUGCCGAAGGAUCGGCCCGCGUCUGAUUAGCUUGUUGGUGGGGUAACGGCCUACCAAGGCGACGAUCAGUAGCUGGUCUGAGAGGAUGAUCAGCCACACUGGGACUGAGACACGGCCCAGACUCCUACGGGAGGCAGCAGUGGGGAAUAUUGGACAAUGGGCGCAAGCCUGAUCCAGCCAUGCCGCGUGAGUGAUGAAGGCCUUAGGGUUGUAAAGCUCUUUUGUCCGGGACGAUAAUGACGGUACCGGAAGAAUAAACCCCGGCUAACUUCGUGCCAGCAGCCGCGGUAAUACGAAGGGGGCUAGCGUUGCUCGGAAUCACUGGGCGUAAAGGGCGCGUAGGCGGCCGAUUAAGUCGGGGGUGAAAGCCUGUGGCUCAACCACAGAAUUGCCUUCGAUACUGGUUGGCUUGAGACCGGAAGAGGACAGCGGAACUGCGAGU